rfam:Bacillus thermoamylovorans genome assembly, strain 1A1, contig: A1A_CC45
UUGCCCUUUUAACAGACAGUCCAGAGAGGCUGGAAAGGGGAAGGCUGAGUGUCAGUCGGAAGUAGAACCUGCUUCAGGCUGUGAAUGCAACGCUACUCAUUUACCUCUUUCCAUAUACUGGAAAGAGGUUUUUUUAU